CGCGGCCUAUCAGCUUGUUGGUGGGGUAACGGCCUACCAAGGCAUCGACGGGUAGCUGGUCUGAGAGGAUGAUCAGCCACACUGGGACUGAGACACGGCCCAGACUCCUACGGGAGGCAGCAGUGGGGAAUCUUGCGCAAUGGGCGAAAGCCUGACGCAGCAACGCCGCGUGCGGGAAGAGGGCCCUAGGGUUGUAAACCGCUUUCAGUAGGAACGAAAAUGACGGUACCUGCAGAAGAAGGUGCAGCCAACUACGUGCCAGCAGCCGCGGUGACACGUAGGCACCAAGCGUUGUCCGGAUUUAUUGGGCGUAAAGAGCUCGUAGGCGGUUGAGUAAGUCGGGUGUGAAAACUCUGGGCUUAACCCAGAGCCGCCACUCGAUACUGCUCUGACUUGAGUUCGGUAGGGGAGCAGGGAAUUCCUAGUGUAGCGGUGAAAUGCGCAGAUAUUAGGAGGAACACCGGUGGCGAAGGCGCUGCUCUGGGCCGAAACUGACGCUGAGGAGCGAAAGCGUGGGUAGCAAACAGGAUUAGAUACCCUGGUAGUCCACGCCGUAAACGUUGGGCACUAGGUGCGGGUUCCAACCAACGGAAUCCGCGCCGUCGCUAACGCAUUAAGUGCCCCGCCUGGGGAGUACGG
rnacentral:rRNA from 1 species